AGGAGGGUGAAGAGUUGUUCACGUGAAACCGCAAGUAAACAGUAUAGCUGGUGUUACUCCCUCCACUGUCUUUUAUCGACGGCUCCAAAUGAGAUAUAAAUCCCCAAAUAUUAAGAGCAACAAUGAGAAGUAUUUGGAUUUAACUGGUUGCUGUUUCUUGCAGGAGAUUGAAGAUGCUGCUGUUGCUCCUGCUCCUCACGAGCGUUUCCCAGCAUGCUCUGGCUGUGGUGGUGGAGGUAUAUGAGGGGGAGAAUUCUGUCCUCUUGCCCUAUGUUUACAAAGGUUCUAUACCCGAGAACAAUCCCACAGUGAUGUGGACUUGCAGUGACCUCAAUCCCAAAUCUGUCCACCUACAAGGAAAAGGAGGAGACGAUCUCAAAGGGCAAAACCAGCGCUACACUGGGCGCACAUCAAUGAGUCGUUAUGCACUAAACACAAAAGACUUCAGUCUCACUCUGAGGAAACCCAAACUGACUGACAGCGGUAUUUACACCUGUUCCAUCAGUGCUGGAGGAGAAGAACAUAGACUGAGUGACAUCCAGCUGCACGUCAAAGAUCACCCCAUGGAGGUGAAGGUGGAGGAAGGCUCAGCGUCUGUCAUCCUGCCCUGCAAAACUGAACCUGACCUGCCUGAGGACACCAGAGUGGAGUGGACUCGCUCUGACCCAGAACUCGUGAUAGUUCAGGAGUAUUCAAACAAAGGUGGCAAACUUAUGAAACAGGACAAGUUUUACAGAGACCGAAUGGAAAUGAAUGAAAACCUGCUGAAAACUGGAGACUUCAGUCUGACCCUGAAACAGCCCACAGAGAGAGACAGUGGGAGAUACAUCUGCACCAUCUACAGGGACAAAGACAUCCUGAGACAGAAAGUAGAGCUGCACUAUGUCAGAGAAAAACUUCCACUUUGGGCCACAGCUGUCGUAGUUCUUCCUGUUCUGGUGGUUUUUGGGGGUCUCAGUCUCAUAUAUAGUUUUCAACACUAUUUCAUGUCAGACUGUCAGGUGGAGGUGAAGUCAGGGGUGGAGUCUGUAAAGCUGCCUUUCAAAACCAACACAAAAAAACUACCUGAAGAUGCUAAAGUGGAAUGGAAGGACAGAUACAACAACAAAGUCCAUGUGCACCAGAAUGGUUGUGAUAGGACUGAAGACCAAAGCCCAGCAUACAGGGAGCGAACAGAGAUGAAGCGCAACCCGCUAAGAACUGGAGACCUCAGUCUCAUCCUGAAAUACCCCACAAACAAGGACAGAGGCACCUACACCUGCACCGUCUACAACAAGGAGGGAGAAAAAAUCCUGAAUGACACACACGACACACACGUGGAGCUUAAAGUCAGAGUCCCCCAGGUGGAGGUGGAUUCAGGGGUGGAGUCUGUCCAGCUGAUCUGCAAAAUCAGAGUUCGUCUGAUAAAAAAAGACCCUAAAGUGGAGUGGACGGAGAACAACAAGAAGGUCCAUGUGUAUCAGAACGGCUCUGAACAGCCUGAAGAACAGCACCAGGAUUACAGAGACCGGACAGAGAUGAAUAAAGACCUGCUGAAAACUGGAGACCUCAGUCUGACCCUGAAAUACCCCACAGAGUGGGACACAAACACCUACACCUGCACCGUCUACAGCUGGGGGGAAAACAUCUUAAUGAAGAAACAAGUGGAGCUUAAAGUCAGAGUCCCCCAGGUGGUGGUUGAUUCAGAUGUGGAGUUUGUCCAGCUGCCCUGCAAAACUACAAUAAACCUCCCUAAAGAUGCUAAAGUGGAGUGGAAGGAUAGAAAAAUCAGGAAGGUCCAUGUAUAUCCAGAAGUGUCUGACCAGCCUGAAGAACAGGACCAGCGUUACAGAGACCGAACACAGAUGAAUGAAGACCUGCUGAAAACUGGAGACCUCAGUCUGAAACUGAAAUACCCCACAGACUGGGACACAAACAUCUACACCUGCACCGUCUACAGCAAUUCCUGCAUCCUAAAGGAGAAACAAGAAGUGGAACUUAAAGUCAGAGUCUGUGAGGUGGAGCUGAAGAUGGGGGAGUCUGUCCAGCUGCCCUUCAAAACCACAGAAAAACUGCCUGAAGAUGCUAAAGUGGAGUGGAAGGACAGAUACAACAGGAAGGUUCAUGUGUAUCCAGAAGUGUCUGACCAGCCUAAAGAACAGGAUAAGGAUUAUAGAGAUCAAACAGAGAUGGAUGACUGCCCGCUGAAAACUGGAGAGCUCAGUCUGACUCUGAAAAACCCCACAGAGGGAAACAUUGGGAGAUACACAUGUUGCGUCUGGAGAAAGGGAGACAAAAUCAGAUCGAAAACAGUGAUGUUAAAAGUUCCUCGGGUGCCAUUGUCUAGAUAUUGAACUAUGGUUUUAUUAUAUUAAUUUCCUCUUUAUGAUAAGAUAGAAUGAACUUUAAUGUCCCCAUGUUUAAAUUUGGUGUGGACUCUAGGAUUGUCACAGAAUCUGCCUUUACAAAGUCAAUAGACAUUAAAAGAAAAGAGAAAUAGAUAACAGAUAAAUAAAAAAUAUAUAUAUAUAUGUAUAAAUUUAAAUAAAACCCAGAAGCUGUGCCUUGAUCAUCACAGAAACCUGGCUUCACCCAGGAGUACCUGAAGCUAGCGUGCAGCUAGCAGGCUGCACUGUGCUCCGCUGGGACAGGACAAAGGCAAGAGUGGGUGGGGGGAUUGUAUGCUCCCUCUAGGUGCGAUCUUUCAGAAAUACAAUAUCGCUUUUCACUGUUAUGCCGAUGAUAUAUAGAUCUACUUUGAACUAACUGAUGAUCUGUCUCUGCACUGUUUGUGUGAGGUCAAAGAAUGGCUCUUAGGAAACUCUCUUAUCUUAAAUGAUAAGAAAACGGAAGUCGUGGUAUUUGAUAGUAAUAUCCCUCGCGGCCAACUUCGUAAUGCCUUUGGUUCCCUUGCCAGUUCCAUCUCUGACACUGUUAGCAAUUUGGGCGUGUUGCUGGAUAGCUCUUAAAUUUGAUAAACAAGUGUCCACUGUAUAUAGAUCUAGCUUCUACCAACUGCAUUUCAUUUCUAAGGCUAGGCAUGCCCUCUGACUGGAACUGGGAGGUUUGCCUCUAUUAUCCCUGUUCUUGCUGAUCUGCACUGCACCCAUUAAAUACCGUAUCCAAUUUAAAAUAUUGUUGCUUACUUUUAAAAUUAUCAACAACACAGCGCCGAGCUACCUUAUCGAAUUCCUUAGAUUGUCCUUGUUAGAGCACUAAGAUCAUCUACUCAGGUAAUCUUGGUGCAGCCAAGAUUGUAGCAUCCAGUCGAACUGAGAAGGCCAGAACUGAUGGUUGUUGAAUGACCUUUAUUAUUCCUUGCCGUGUAUCAGACAACGAACCAACGUAAGAGCUAGACAAACAAAUAAAACAAUUACCAUAUUAUUCAUGUAACACUAUUUUAACCGCUCAUUACGCUGGUCUAACAGUUUUCUAUUAAACUAUAUAAUACAUAUUAUGCAUUUCAGAUUGCUCAAAUUAAAUCAUAUACAUUACAAACCUUGUUCCCCUGUCGACUGUAGCUAGAACCAUUCGUUUUUGUACAAUUUAACCAUAUUCUUCCCCUUUCUCAGUUAGCAUUAGUUUUCCGUUUUCUCCGUCUUUUUGUACAUCAAGUUGUUUACUGUUACAUCAUUCACUUCCGGUCACACAGGAAGUUACCAAAAUAAAAGCACAAACGUUAUAUUACGUGAAUAUGAACUAGCUUUACAUAUCCGCCGUUACAAAGAUCUUGGCUGAAAUCUAGAGGUGACCGUGCACCUGAUGUGUAGACUUAUUGUGUUUCUCUUUUAUACGUUUCUUUUAUGGCUUUUGUGCUUUUACCAUGUUUUUAUUUGAUAUGCAUUUCAUUGCUACUUAGGUAACUGUUUGUACAGUCAUUUGUAUAAAGAGUAAACAGGACUGGUGAACUAGCGCAGCAGUUUUUCUGGACCUUUGCUGCCCUAUUAUGGGUUUUUUUUUCUGAAUCUUUGGUUUUAUUUAGCCUUUUCUCUAUUUUUUUUCCCAAUGAGUCUUAGCUUUACACAGCC
ensembl:lncRNA